rnacentral:rRNA from 1 species
UGGGGAAUAUUGCGCAAUGGGCGAAAGCCUGACGCAGCAACGCCGCGUGGGGGAUGAAGGUUCUCGGAUUGUAAACCCCUUUCGACCGGAACGAAUUCCCUCCUGGUAAAUAAUCAGGAGGAUCGACGGUACCGGGAGAAGAAGCCACGGCUAACUCUGUGCCAGCAGCCGCGGUAAGACAGAGGUGGCGAGCGUUGUUCGGAUUUAUUGGGCGUAAAGCGAACGCAGGUGGUUUGGUAAGUCAGAGGUGAAAGACCACAGCUUAACUGUGGCACUGCCUUUGAUACUGCCUUUCUAGAGUGCAUGAGGGGGAAGCGGAAUUCCGAGUGUAGAGGUGAAAUUCGUAGAUAUUCGGAGGAACACCGGUGGCGAAGGCGGCUUCCUGGCAUGUAACUGACACUCAUGUUCGAAAGCGUGGGUAGCAAACAGGAUUAGAUACCCUGGUAGUCCACGCCCUAAACGAUGGGCACUAGGUGUGGGAGGUAUCGACCCCUUCCGUGCCGCAGCUAACGCAUUAAGUGCCCCGCCUGGGGAGUACGGCCGCAAGGUUG